rnacentral:rRNA from 1 species
CCUACGGGUGACAGCAGUGGGGGAUAUUGCACAAUGGGGGGAACCCUGAUGCAGCGACGCCGCGUGAGGGAAGAAGGCUUUCGGGUUGUAAACCUCUGUCGCCGGGGACGAAAGAGAUGACGGUACCUGGCCAGGAAGCCACGGCUAACUACGUGCCAGCAGCCGCGGUAAUACGUAGGUGGCGAGCGUUGUCCGGAAUUACUGGGGGUAAGGGGAGCGUAGGCGGGAAGUUAAGUUGAAGGUAUAAACUACGGGCUAAACCGGUGGAAGCGUUGGAAACUGAUGAGCUUGAGUGAAGUAGAGGCAAGCGGAAUUCCUAGUGUAGCGGUGAAAUGCGUAGAUAUUAGGAGGAACACCAGUGGCGAAGGCGGCCUGCUGGGCUUUAACUGACGCUGAGGCUCGAAAGCGUGGGGAGCAAACAGGAUUAGAUACCCGGGUAGUC